ensembl:lncRNA
UGAGGCUGAAAGCAGGAGAGGCCAGGGAGCAGGAAUCCUGUGAUGUCAUACAGACCCGCAGGUGGAGCAUACAGAGGGCGGGGCCAGAAGGCAGAGGGAGGAGGUCAGCACAGUUUACAAUGUGAAGGAAAGAAGCCAAGGUCGGGGCGUGUGGGUGUGUGGGUGUGGGAGAUGCAAAGCCUGGGUUUCUCUGGCCUUGGACAAGACCUCAGUAGCAAGACCAGUGCAUAUUCAAGUUUCACUAAUUUUCCCAAUAAAGAUCCUCAAAGUCUCCCAUCCCCAACCUUCUGCCCUGCAAUCCAGAAUCAUGCAUUUCAGAGUAUUUGUAUGUGAAUAACCCAUAUUUUGGUCUUUUUACUUCCUCCGUUAUGAGAAGAUCUAUCUUUUUGGCGACUGCUGACAUAAAUAUGUAUCAAUUUGAAGGCACUGGGUUUUCAAAUAUUCCUUAACUUAUAGACCACGACUAUACAGUAAAACAUGACAUCACCAAGAAAUUAGGUAUAGUUCUGUUGAAUCCUGUUCCUAAGUUUCAGGUGUACAGCACAAUAAUUCAGUUGAAGCUGAUCGGUUUUAUGAAGACCAACACCCUCGAGAACUAACACCAAAAAAGGAUGUCCUUUUUACCAUAGGGGAUUGGAAUGCAAACGUAGGAAGUCAAGAGAUACCCAGAAUAAAAGGCAAGUUUGGCCCUGGAGUGCAAAAAGAAACAGGGCAAAGACUAACAGAGUUUUGUCAAGAGAACACGUUGGUCAUAGCAAGCACCCUUUUCCAACAACUCAAGAGACAACUCUACACAUGGACAUCACCAGAUGGUCAAUACUGACAUGAGAUUGAUUAUGUUCUUUGCAGUCAAAGAUGGGGAAGCUCCAUACAGUCAGCAAAAACAAGACCUGGAGCUGCCAGUUGCUCAGCUCAUAAGUUCCUUAUUGCAAAAUUCAGGCUGAAAUUGAAGAAAGUAGGAAAAACCAAUAGGCCAUUCAAGUAUGACCUAAAUCAAAUCACAGUGGAGGUGAUGAAUAGAUUCAAGGGAUUAGAACUGGGAAGCAGAGUUAUUGAAGAACUAAGGACAGAGGUUUGUAAUACUGUACAGGAGGCAGUGACCAAAACCUUUCCCAAGAGAAAGAAACACAAGAAGGGAAAAUGGUUGUCUGAGGAGGUUAUACAAAUAGCUAAGGAAAGAAGAGAAGUGAAAGAAAGGGAGAAAAGGAAAGAUAUACUCAGAGAUCAGAGUUCCAGAGAAUAGCAAAGAGAGAUAAGAAGGCCUUCCUCAAUGAACACUGUGAAGAAAUAGAGGAAAACAAUAGAAUGGAUAAAGACUAGAGAUCUCUUCAAGAAAAUUGGAGGUAUCAAGGGAAUAUCUCAUGCAAGGGUGGGCACCAUAGACAGAAAUGGUAAGGACCUUACAGAAGCAAAAGAGAUUAGGAAGAGGUGGCAAGAAUACAUGGAAGAACUAAACAAAAAGGUCUUAAUGAUCUGGAUAACCAUGAUGGUGUGGUCACUCACCUAGAACCAGACAUCCUGAAGUGUGAAGUCUGGUGGACUUAGGAAGCAUCACUUCAAACAACACUAGUGGAGCUGAGCUCUUUAAAAUCCUGAGAUGAUGCUUUCCAGCUGAGCUAUUUCAAAUACUAAAAGAUGAUGCUGUUAAAGUGCUGCAUUCAAUAUAUUAGCCAAUUUGGGAAACUCUGCAGGGUGACAGGACUGGAAAAGGUGUUCUCAUUCCAAUCCCAAAGAAGGGCAACGCCAAAUAAUGUUCAAGUGUGUUAAUUGCUUAGUUGUGUCUGAUUCUUUGCGACCCCACGGACUGUAGCCUGCCAGGCUCCUCUGUCCACAAAAUUUUUCAGGCGAGAAUACUAAAGUGAAUAUCCAUUCUCUUCUCCAGGGGAUUUUCCUGACCCAGGGAUCGAACCCCAGUCUUCUGCAUUGCAGGCAGAUCCUUUACCAUCUGAGGCACCAGGGAAGCCCCAAAAUGUUCAAACUACUGUACAACUGUGCUCAUUUCACAUGCUAGCAAAAUUAUGCUCAAAAUCCUUCAAGUUAGGCUUCAGCAGUACAUGAACUGAGAUAUUUCAGAUGUACAAGCUAGGUUUCAAAGAGCCAGAAGAACCAGAGAUCAAAUUGCCAACAUUUGUUGGAUCAUGGAGAAAGCAAAAGAGUUCCAGAAAAACAUCUACUUCUGCUUCGUUGACUAUGCUAAAGCCUUUGACGGUGUGGAUCACAAUAAACCAUGCAAAAUUCUUAAAGAGAUAGGAGUACCAGACCAUCUUACCUGUUUCCUGAGAAACCUGUAUGUGGACCAAGAAGCAGCAGUUAGAACCAGACAUGGAGCCACUGACUGGUUCCAAACUGGGAAAGGAGUUUGACAAGGCUGUAAAUUGUCACCCUGCUUAUUUAACUUACAUGCAGAGUAAAUCAUGCAAAAUGCCAGGCUGGAUGAAUCACAAUCUAGAACCAAGAUUGCCAGGAGAAAUAACAACCUCAGAUAUGCAGAUGAUACCACUCCAAUGGCAGAAAUCGAAGAGAAACUAAAGAGCCUCUUGAUGAGGGUGAAAGAGGAGAGUGGAAAAAGCUGACUGGAAACUCAAUAUUCGAAAAACUAAAAGCAUGGCAUCCAGUCCCAUCACUUCAUGGCAAAUAGAUGGAGAAAAAGUGGAAACAGUGACAUUUUAUUUUGGGGGACUUCAAAAUCAUUGUGAACAACAGUGACUGCAGUUAUGAAAUUUGAAGACGUUGGCUCCUUGGAAGAAAAGCUAUGACAAACUUAGACAGCGUAUUAAAAAGCAGAGACAUCACUUUGUUGACAAAAGUCUGUCUAGUCAAAGCUAUGGUUUUUUCAGUAGUCAUGUAUGGAUGUGAGAGUUGGACCAUAAAGAAGGCCAAAUCCUAAAGAACUGAUGCUUUUGAAUUGUGCUGUUGAAGACUCUUGAGAGUCCCUUGGACUGCAAGGAAAUCAAACCAGUCAAUGCUAAACAAAAUCAACCCUGAGUAUUCAUUGAAAGGACUCUUGCUGAAGCUCUAAUACUUUGGCAGCUGAUAUGAAGAGAUUCAUUGGAAAAGACCCUGAUGCUGGGAAAAACCGAAGACAAAAGAAGAAGAGGGCGGCAGAGAAUGAGAUGGUUAGAUAACAUCACUGACUCAAUGAACAUGAAUUUGAGCAAACUCUGGGAGGUAGUGGAGGACAGAGGAGCCUGGUGUGCUACAGUCCAUGGGGUUGCAAAGAGUUGGACAUGACUUACCUACUGAACAACA